UAGGGAAUCUUCCGCAAUGGGCGAAAGCCUGACGGAGCAACGCCGCGUGAGUGAUGAAGGUCUUCGGAUCGUAAAACUCUGUUAUUAGGGAAGAACAAAUGUGUAAGUAACUAUGCACGUCUUGACGGUACCUAAUCAGAAAGCCACGGCUAACUACGUGCCAGCAGCCGCGGUAAUACGUAGGUGGCAAGCGUUAUCCGGAAUUAUUGGGCGUAAAGCGCGCGUAGGCGGUUUUUUAGGUCUGAUGUGAAAGCCCACGGCUCAACCGUGGAGGGUCAUUGGAAACUGGAAGACUUGAGUGCAGAAGAGGAAAGUGGAAUUCCAUGUGUAGCGGUGAAAGGCGCAGAGAUAUGGAGGAACACCAGUGGCGAAGGCGACUUUCUGGUCUGUAACUGACGCUGAUGUGCGAAGGCGUGGGGAUCAAACAGG
rnacentral:rRNA from 1 species